AGAGUUUGAUCCUGGCUCAGGAUGAACGCCGGCGGUGUGCCUAAUACAUGCAAGUCGUACGCACUGGCCCAACUGAUUGAUGGUGCUUGCACCUGAUUGACGAUGGAUCACCAGUGAGUGGCGGACGGGUGAGUAACACGUAGGUAACCUGCCCCGGAGCGGGGGAUAACAUUUGGAAACAGAUGCUAAUACCGCAUAACAACAAAAGCCACAUGGCUUUU
rnacentral:rRNA from 1 species